rnacentral:rRNA from 1 species
AUUGAACGCUGGCGGCAUGCCUUACACAUGCAAGUCGAACGGUAACAGGUCUUCGGAUGCUGACGAGUGGCGAACGGGUGAGUAAUACAUCGGAACGUGCCUGGUAGUGGGGGAUAACUACUCGAAAGAGUGGCUAAUACCGCAUGAGAUCUACGGAUGAAAGCAGGGGAUCGCAAGACCUUGUGCUACUAGAGCGGCCGAUGGCAGAUUAGGUAGUUGGUGGGAUAGAAGCUUACCAAGCCGACGAUCUGUAGCUGGUCUGAGAGGACGAUCAGCCACACUGGGACUGAGAAACGGCCGAGACUCCUGCGGGAGGCAGCAGUGGGGAAUUUUGGACAAUGGGCGCAAGCCUGAUCCAGCAAUGCCGCGUGCAGGAUGAAGGCCUUCGGGUUGUAAACUGCUUUUGUACGGAACGAAAAGCCCCGGGUUAAUACCCUGGGGUCAUGACGGUACCGUAAGAAUAAGCACCGGCUAACUACGUGCCAGCCGCCGCCGUAA